CUGAAGUUCAAAUCCCAGCAACCACAUGGUGGCUCACAACCAUCCGUAAUGAGAUCUGAUGCCCUCUUCUGGUGUGUCUGAAGACAGCUACAGUGUACUUACAUUAAAUAAAUAAAUAAAUAAAUAAAUAUUUAAAAAAAUAAUAAAAUAAAAUGUCAGUCAGAACCAAUACAAGAACCAACAGGGAGAACCAACUCAUGAAAGUGGGCCAUACUUGGACAUGUAGGUUUCUGUCUACACUAAAACAGUGCCUGCUAUUUCUAUGGUUUGGAUGUAAUUUGUCUCCCUGAACCGUCAUGUAUUAGAACCUGGCCCCAGAGAAGUAGUGUUGGGUGGUGGUGUGGAAACGUAAAGGUAUAGGG
rnacentral:lncRNA from 1 species